rnacentral:rRNA from 1 species
CCUACGGGUGGCAGCAGUGAGGAAUAUUGGUCAAUGGCCGGGAGGCUGAACCAGCCAAGUCGCGUGAGGGAAGACGGCCCUACGGGUUGUAAACCUCUUUUGUCAGGGAGCAAGGUGCAGGUCGGGACCUGCUGUGAGAGUACCUGAAGAAAAAGCAUCGGCUAACUACGUGCCAGCAGCCGCGGUAAUACGUAGGGGGCAAGCGUUAUCCGGAUUUACUGGGUGUAAAGGGAGCGUAGACGGUGAGACAAGUCUGAAGUGAAAGCCCGGGGCUCAACCCCGGGACUGCUUUGGAAACUGCCUGACUGGAGUGCUGGAGAGGCAAGCGGAAUUACUAGUGUAGCGGUGAAAUGCGUAGAUAUUAGGAAGAACACCAGUGGCGAAGGCGGCUUGCUGGACAGUAACUGACGUUGAGGCUCGAAAGCGUGGGGAGCAAACAGGAUUAGAUACCCGAGUAGUC